rnacentral:rRNA from 1 species
CAGCACCCUUUGCUUACGUACGACCGUCAAGUUUUGCUUCAGGCAGCGCCCGGUCUUAAUCUGACCGCGUGCCGCAGGACCUGCUAAUGCAGUGGUGUUUACCUUCUGGCCAGUGUCAUGCACUGAUAGCCUAAUCUCCUAACUCUGGAUCAAUCCAUGAUUUACAAUUGUCUAAGUGAUUUUAUCCAAUUAAUAGCAAAAACUUUCGAAGCAAUCGGAUCUCUUGGUUCUGGCAUCGUAUGAUACGAACGCCAGCGAAAAUGCGAUAAGUAAGGCCGAAUUCGCAGAAUUCCAGUGAGUCAGUCGAAUCUUUGAACGCACAUUGCGCCCGUUUGGUAUUCCGAAGGGCAUGCCUGUUACGAGCGUCAUUAUCACUCCCCUCGAUAGCACCAGCGUGUGACUUAGGUCGUUUGGACCGGCCUUGGAUGGACCGGAGUUCAACACGUUUCCACACCCUCCUAUAAGGACAAUGGACCGCGCGAGGCCCUGGCGGGAACACCCCGGUUACCACCUGAGCCUCUCCUCUUAUCUGAGCACGUAUCGGGAUUGAAAGGGUGCCCCGGGACCCAGGUCUUUCCCCUUCACAGUGGUGACAACAUCUCUUG